rfam:Hordeum vulgare subsp. vulgare, WGS project CAJW01000000 data, contig: morex_contig_277329
GUACUACUCCCUCUGUCCGGAAAUACUUGUCCUAAAAAUGUAUAUAAUGGAUGUAUCUAUAANNAAAAUAAGUCUAGAUACAUUCAUCUCUAGGACAAGUAUUUUCGGACGGAGUGAGUACAUG